UACGGAGGGUGCAAGCGUUAGUCGGAUUUACUGGGCGUAAAGGGUGCGUAGGCGGAUGUGUAAGUCAGACGUGAAAUUCCGAAGCUCAACUUCGGAGCGGCAUCUGAAACUGCACAACUAGCGGAAUGGCGGAGAAAACGGAAUUCCACGUGUAGCGGUGAAAUGCGUAGAUAUGUGGAAGAACACCUGUGGCGAAAGCGGUUUUCUAGCCUACUCCGGACGCUGAGGCACGAAAGCAAGGGGAUCAAACAGG
rnacentral:rRNA from 1 species